GCUGUCUAAGAGCACAGCCGCCUAAAGGCGGUGACGCAGAGUCACGGGACUACAGCGAGUAGGCAUCGCCACGUCCGCCGGGCCGCCAGC
rfam:Gemmatimonadetes bacterium 13_1_40CM_70_11 13_1_40cm_scaffold_1151, whole genome shotgun sequence.